AUACGGAGGAUCCGAGCGUUAUCCGGAUUUAUUGGGUUUAAAGGGAGCGUAGGUGGACAGUUAAGUCAGUUGUGAAAGUUUGCGGCUCAACCGUAAAAUUGCAGUUGAUACUGGCUGUCUUGCGUACCGUAGAGGUGGGCGGACUCCGCGGUGUAGCGUGGAAAUGCUUAGAUAUCACGAAGAACUCCGAUUGCGAAGGCAGCUCACUGGACUGCAACUGACACUGAUGCUCGAAAGUGUGGGUAUCAAACAGGAUUAGAUACCCUGGUAGUCCACACAGUAAACGAUGAAUACUCGCUGUUUGCGAUAUACAGUAAGCGGCCAAGCGAAAGCAUUAAGUAUUCCACCUGGGGAGUACGCCGGCAACGGUGAAACUUAAAGGAAUUGACGGGG
rnacentral:rRNA from 1 species